rnacentral:tRNA from 1 species
GUGGGAUUGGCACAGCGGCGACUGCGGGAGACUGUAAAUCUCCUAUACUACACCUAGGUUCGAGUCCUAGAUCCCACA